rnacentral:rRNA from 1 species
UACGUAGGGAGCAAGCGUUGUCCGGAAUCAUUGGGCGUAAAGCGCGCGUAGGUGGCUUCGUAAGUCCGUUGUGAAAGUCAAAGGCUCAACCUUUGAAAGCCGAUGGAUACUGUGAAGCUAGAGUACGGAAGAGGCGAGUGGAAUUCCUGGUGUAGCGGUGGAAUGCGCAGAUAUCGGGAGGAACACCAAUGGCGAAGGCAGCUCGCUGGGACGUUACUGACGCUGAGACGCGAAAGCGUGGGGAGCAAACAGG